CCUUACUUCAAGCAAUUCACAUGGCAAAUGUGGACCGAGUUAUGAGAAAAUUAAAACUCUAGUAAGGAAUCAACAGAGAUCGCAUGAAACAGAAAAACAUACAAUAAGCUAUGAGAACAUUAAUCAUGAAAAGAAAAAAAAGCGCGCUUCACACAAAUCACAAUACAAGACUUUGCAUAAACAGUGACAGGGUAUAAUCAACUAUCACAAGGAAACGAUUUGACUAAGAAGAAAUGCAAAUUUAAUGCCAAUGCCAAGCGAAUGAUCACUUGGGGUUGAGGCAACGUUUUGCAGAAAUGCAAAUCCAAACUCUGACAUGGGAAUAGACAUAUCGACUCCGCCAAUCGGCAAAACAAUUAGAAAGCAAUCACAACCACGGCACAGUCAGUGUACAAACCCCUUUGCUAAGUCAAACACCAUCUCAAGAAGUCCCAAGAUCCCCAAGUUGACACGAACACGAGCAAAGCAGCAAAGCCUGGAGGGCUUGGCAAUGGCAGCCGACUCGAUGCUAAUUCUAAAGGUACAGAAAGCCAGUAAACUAUGAGUAGGAAGGAGAUACAGUGCAGAUCGCACAUGAUCAACGACACGAAUGCAGCGAUCAACGGGAAAACGAAAAGAGAUACCGAAGCGAAUCAUGGAACAAGAUCUGAACAACAGAACAGAGACGGGGGCUUGGCAAAUCGCAAAGAGUUCAAUUCUGAAGCAGAUCUGGAUGCAUCAUCGCAGCGAGACAACAGAGCAAAGAUCGCAAUGGCAGUCGCGGGAUGAAGGCGAGAGCAGUAGAGCAGAGGAGAGACGUGCGGGGGGGGGAUCAUCAACGGAAACAGACAAGUACGCACCUCGGAGUCGAAGAUCUCGCGAUCAGCAGGAGAAAUUGCGGUCGCAGGAGGAUCGGAAAC